GGCGGUAUAGCUCAGUGGUAGAGUGCAUGCUUAGCAUACAAGAGGUCUUGGGUUCAAACCCCAGUACCUCCA
rnacentral:tRNA from 1 species